GCCUUGCCAGGCUAAAAAUGGCAAAAAAAAGCCUUGCCAGGCUAAAAAUCGAUCUGUAGUACUGUUCACUACACGUUAAGGAUCGACCCACAAACUGAAGGGUGGAGAAGAGGGGAACAUUGAACGUAGGCUGUUCGUUAGCCUCCCCACGGCCUGAAAGACGGCUCGUGGAUGCAGACGCUUAUGAUCGGGAUAUGUGACCCAAUUCGAUACCUGAAAAUUAGCGCCACUUGGCGCGAAGAAAAUCUACCUAUCCCCCGGCGCUUCUGUGUUCAUCCAGGCUGCUACUCUUCAAACAUGGAGUCUUGCUGUCGCCUCUAAGAACCCCAUAGUACUACUUUUUCCAGAAACGUCUUCAGCGAGCUCGAUUUGUUCAUAGUUCUGUUUUUGGAAUCAACGGCGAUAUGGAACAACAAAUAUACACAACAGUAUGUGGACAACAAGAAAGCUUCUGUUUGAAGAAAAAACUACAUCAGUAACCAGUUGCAGGUUCUCAUUCAUGAUUUACAUAGAAAACCGAUAAGAGUUUUUGGACUACCGUACUGCUUUUUGCAUGUUUGACGUUUAUCCGUCGAUAUCCAUGUUGCCAUGGCUAAAACAACAAAAAGGUUGGAAUCUAGAUACUAUGUGCUUUCACUUUACGCUAUGUACUUCGAGGACUUUGCGUUUAGCUGUGAAAACCUUAUUCUUCUAUAAGCAAGGCAU